AUAUCUCUAGACGACAUCUGAAAGGGAUUAAAGNUUUAUCGGUGAUGGAUGGGGGGUGCGUCUGAUUAGCUUGUUGGCGGGGUAACGGCCCACCAAGGCGACGAUCAGUAGGGGUUCUGAGAGGAAAGGUCCCCCACAUUGGAACUGAGACACGGUCCAAACUCCUACGGGAGGCAGCAGUGAGGAAUAUUGGUCAAUGGGCGAGAGCCUGAACCAGCCAAGUAGCGUGCAGGACGACGGCCCUAUGGGUUGUAAACUGCUUUUAUAAGGGAAUAAAGUGAGUCUCGUGAGACUUUUUGCAUGUACCUUAUGAAUAAGGACCGGCUAAUUCCGUG
rnacentral:rRNA from 1 species